rnacentral:lncRNA from 1 species
CAAUUUCAAACUGAUUGAUCUAUCCAGUAUAAAUAAUAGUGUAGCUUUUAGCUUACUGUCAUAGACAAGCAUUCCGACUGAUGUUAUAUAUGUUGUUUUUUGUAGAAUCAUAUAAGUCCAGUUAUACUUAAAAACAGGCCAAGGUAAGCCAUGUCAGUUCAUUUAACGAAUGCAUGUGCAGGAACUGCGGAACUAGGGGCGGGGGUGGGGCUUGGGGACCAUACCCCCACUCCCACCACCAUAUGGUGUGGCCUUACCCCCUCCCCCCCUCCUCCACCACUUCCAAUCAUAGGAUUGAUUCGUAAUAUUUGUUCUUUAUCACUAAUACUGUUCAAAUUUUGCAGCACAAGGACGCAGUCCCAAGUGGAAUUUUUUGCCAUGUUAGAUUCAAAAAUCGAAGCGGUAAGUUUAUAAUUUUGUGUUUGGAUGCCCCAUCUGCAUUUCAGCACCCCAUUGAAACACUGUGACAGAUAUUGUUGGUGGGUUGCCCAGAACUACAAGUAAUUAUUUUGCUUGGAAGGACUUGUAAACUGUCCGGCCAUUAGACAAAAUAUGGGCGGACGUCAUUUAUCAGCUUUUCUGAUCGGACAAUGGCCAAAGUGAAAUGUUUCAUAUCCUUCUGAGAACGAUGUAUUUCGGCUAGUCAUGUUAGUCCACAUUACAAUCAUGGAUGUACAACCGAGUAUAAUAUCUACCAGUCCUAAUGCAUCUGUAAAUUAUGGUUCAGAUUAUCCUUCCAUCAUGAUAUAGCCUACGAAGGCAAUUUAGAUUCAUAUUGCUGUUGGUAAUUAAAUCUUACUGUAGCAAAAGAUGAUCAGGGAAAGUGUUGCUUAUUAAUCUUUGAUUUCGUCAACAAAAAUGUGUAAAAAACAAAAUUAUAUUGGACAUUAAACCAGCCUAAUUUAAAUCGGUCGGUCAAAUGUCCGGUCAUAAAAAGCUUUGAUCAGACAAAAGGUAAAAUCUGGUCGGACAAUGACCGAUAACCAGCACUAAUUUGCAUGCCAUGUUGCUCCUUACUAAUGAUUUAAGCCUGCUAAUUUGUUAAGUAUUUUAAUAAAUGUUCAAUGUUCAAAAGUAGCAGUAGUUGUAGCUGAUUACAUAUUUUUGAAGUAACUGUAGUUAUAGCGAACUACAAACCCACCCUUGACUAGACCCCCUAGAGAAGUCCAGCACCACCCUAAAAAACUGCUUGACCAUACAUUUUCUGCUUUUCGAAUAGCGAUUAAUUAGCGGAACUACUGUGUCGAUUUCUAGCUAUACUCUACUGAAACGAUUUAAUUGAUCUGUGAGCUCACGAGAAAAUAGUCAGAAUGCUUUAGUUAAAUAUCUUGGUCAGUUAAAUCUGUAAACAUGUCGAGGUUUGUGAUGUUACUCUGAGUGUGCAUCCACACCGGGCAAGCUGAACAGUUUGCUUGGCCACGGUGGGAAUCGACAUGCAGAUUCAGCCAUCUCAAAUAAUGGAAAUGUUGGGAUAGUAGCGUUGCAGACUGCAGAGGAGAGUGGGCAGCAAGGCUCCCUCAUGUACCACCCCAUUUAAAACCUGCACCCCUCUUUGCAGAUGAGGCUAGAUCCUCCCCUGUUGCUGAUAUAGCUACUGUUUAAUUAGAGAGAAAUAAACUAAAAAUGCUUUCUUUUUCUUGAACAGGGAGCUGAUCUAAAUUAGAGCUGAUAUUCGAUGUAAGCUUGGGGAGAAAUAUUGUUCUCGUCGAAAUGUAGAAUAUAUAGUCUUGCAGGACAAUAAACGGCCUUGGAUUUGUGAGGCCAAAUCUCUGUUGUUCCCAACAACAACAAUUGCCUGAAAGAAGUUUUCUCUCAAAGAAAAUAGAGCAGAGAGAAUAUGCUCGUAGGAGAAGCUGAUUAAGACUAGUAAAGUCAAGAAAUCCUGACUGGAGAAAUUAUCCUUUUCAGAAUAAACUUAACUAUACCAAGGAGAAUAAAGUAUUUUUCUAAGAAAGCUUUCACGGUAAAGCAAUUAAUAUAAAUAUAUAUAUAUAGACUACUUUUAGAAAGUUUAAAUAAGUAAGGACCAUUAAAUCAGUGGUAAGGACAGGUUAUUGUACAUAUGCAUUCACAAUAAUUGCUUUCGCUAAUGAAAUUUGUUGCGGCAUCCCAGCAAGAAGCCUCAACAUAUACUAACAGUAAAUUUAUACAGUAAAUGAAGCAUUCCUGUAUUACGUAUUUUUUACGUUACAUGAGGUCCAAAUACAUGAGGCCCGAAACGUAUACAUGAAAUAUAUACUGAUUGAUGAUUCUUUACUGAUGAAACAGUCUGUUGCGGAAUUUUGAGGUAAGCGAAAUUCUACAUUUGCUCUAUCUUUAUGAUAUUGAGCACUCUUUGCGUUUCGUAUACACAAACC